CAGUAAUCCCAUGGUCAUUGAACCAGGUUUUGGUACUUUUGGCCGUGUGGGCAGACAAGAGAAGAUAGAGUU